rnacentral:lncRNA from 1 species
AUCGAGAGAAGAGAAAUCGAGAGAAGAGAGAGUGUAGCGGAGGUUGGAAGAAGCCAGACUAAAGAGCCACCAAGGACUUUGAUAGUUGUUCUUUCAUAAAUUUUAACUAAGGGCUUUGAUUUCAGUUUGUUUCUUUAGUCAUGGAUUGCAACUCUAUGAAGAGAAAUUGCAGGAGAAGAACGAUUGGAGUCUGGUUUGGUGAGGGAACAACCAUGGUGGGAGACAAGCCGCCACGAACAGUCACAACGACCAUCAUGGGAGCGAGAAUAACAAGAAUGGGUUCAAUAUCAUCCUCGCCAAUAUGAUGGUAAGUGUUGAUGGAAAGUUGAUGGUAUGUUCACGCCCCAUGUUUUCGACUACGCGGCAACGUACGGGUUUCCCACUAUAUAUUAAUACAACUUAAGGUGCUAACACUACUUUGGGGGAUAAAUUAUCUAUUAACUUCUCAUAAAAUAUAUUGUUGAAGGGUUGUUGAAGGUAUGCACCUAUUACUUCAUCUCAUUUUUAUAUUAUAAUAUAAUAUAAUAUAAUUUGUGGUUGAUUUAAUGUUGUUUUUGUUUUUACGCUGAAUGGUUCUAUUUGUCGUCUUGGCUUUGACCCAUUUUUUAUAAAACUAAGUUACGUAUAUAACUCAUUUGACAUGGUUAAUUUUUUUUAAUAAAUAUGGAUAUUAGCUUAGGUGAAACAAAUGGUUCUAUCCAUUUUUUGCCAUAUAAAAGUGUUCAUUUUCAGUUUCUUAUCUUCCUAAUAAGUGUGUUUUUUAUUCUUCAAUGAACGAGGUUGCAAUACUAGAAUAUAUACAUCUGUUAGUUGAAACUAUAGACCGUCAUUUUGGCAGUGUGGUAAGUCUUACAACAUGUAAACAUCAUAGAACUAGAGGUUGCAAUAUCUAUUAGUUAACUUAUGAAUGACUUGAUCCAGGUCGCGUUUUAUCUCAACAGGUCAAAUAAAAAAUCAACUAAAAGGAAAAACAGGUCAAAUGGGUUGACAUGUAACAUAUUAGCGGAACCACCACUUUUCUUUUGAUUCUAUUGGAUGUUUUGUUUCAACCUGAUGAAGUAGAAAGGCCUAAAGUUGUUUUGGACAUCUUCAUGGGACCCUCAAAAACCAAUGUCCUCCGGUGGAGAAACCAAUCAAGACAAGCUUGAAGCCACAAAGAAGAAGCUUCAAGAACUUCUGUUGACGACAGGUAACUCCGACUCAAGGUUACCGAUUACAAAAUCCUGCUCAUAAACAGUGAUGCGGUGACAAUAUCUGGUGGAAAUGCACAUUUAUCCAUGGAUCAGGAGUGGGUGCUGUUAGAAGGGUUGCUGGAGCUGAUUUUAGGAAUGCAAAGCUGAGAGGAGUCAUUCAUUCCUCAUGGUGAUCAAAAGAGAGACAAGGAAUUUUUUUUGUUAGAGGUUGUCUUGCAUUUAUACGGUGGAAAUAAAAGCCACAUGAGCCGGUAGGAGCGUUUUUUAGCUUCUUGAUUGUGUUUUUUUAAUGCUAGAAGCAUAAAAGAAAUGUCCUUUGGGGUUAGUUUUGUAAUUUAUGAUGUCAUUAGUCUUAUACUCAAAAGGAAGAGUAGGCUAUUUAAGCUACUUUUCUUAUAAUAUUUAUUAGAAGGUAACACUUACAAUAAAAAUUAAGGGAAGAAU